UCAGCGGGUGUUCCUAUCUAAUUCGAGGCCAAAAUACGUUUUUAAACAAGGCUAGAUUGAUUUAGUUAUUCACUCAUAAUUUAACCACAGUUCAUUGUGAUUAGAGUUUGUAAAAAAAACUAAUGCCAAUACAUUUGAGACUGCUACUAUUUAAAGUAGCAUGUCCAACACAAGACAAAGUCUUAUUAUUUAAAACGGCGCUCGAACAGACAUACCUUAAGGAAUACCAAAAGGUGCAAUGUGCGUUCAAAAAUUCGAUGAUUCACUAUAUCUGCAAUUCACAUUACUUAUCGCAUUUCGCUGCGUUCUUCAUCNAUGCCAGAACCA
rnacentral:misc_RNA from 1 species